rnacentral:lncRNA from 1 species
AACUAGGUACCACUUUCUACAUGAGACUUUUGCUGAUUCUACCAAGUAUUCUCCCUCCAAUUAUUUUUGCACAGAACUUCAUACAUAGCAGCUGUUUACAAAAUGCUUGUUGAAUUGGAUUGCCCUGAAGAUCAACUUGGCCUUGGAGGAAUUUGGUGCUAGUUGGAGAGUUGAGCUGAUGUUGUUUUCAGUUCACAUCAACUAUUGUAUGAAGCCAUUCCUGAUUGCCCUCCCCAGCUGGGCCAUCCCAACACAUUUCAAUGAUGAGGACUGAGAGAAAACAGGGAUGGGGUCCAAACAAGAAAGUGGAAACCAGAAACUAGGAAUGAUGAACUAGAGGAAAUCCAUGUGAACUGGAACGACCUCCAGGAAUUGAUGUAGAGUGAAAGGAGCAAAACCAGGAGAACAUUGUACACAGAGACUGAUACACUGUGGUACAAUCAAAUGUAAUGGACUCCUCUACUAGCAGCAAUACAAUGAUCCAGAACUGUUUGGAGGGACAUAUAAGAAAGAAC